rnacentral:rRNA from 1 species
CACACUGUAAACUAUGAGUACUAGGUGUAGGGGGCGAAGCCCUCUGUGCCGCAGUUAACACAUUAAGUACUCCGCCUGGGAAGUACGAUCGCAAGAUUAAAACUCAAAGGAAUUGACGGGGGCCCGCACAAGCAGCGGAGCAUGUGGUUUAAUUCGACGCAACGCGAAGAACCUUACCAAGGCUUGACAUCCUAAGAAUCCGGAAGAAGUUUCGGAGUGCCCUUCGGGGAACUUAGAGACAGGUGG